UGGCAGACGGCUGAGUAACACAUGGGAAUCUACCUCAAACUCGAGAAUAGCCCAUCGAAAGGUGGUGUAAUACUCGAUAGUUCCGUUUACGGUAAAGCUCCGGCGGUUUGAGAUGGGCCCAUGUCCUAUCAGGUUGUUGGUGGGGUAAUUGCCUACCAAGCCUAUGACGGGUAGCUGGUUUGAGAGGAUGAUCAGCCAGACUGGGACUGCGAUACGGCCCAGACUCCUACGGGAGGCAGCAACUAGGAAUCAUGCGCAAUGGACGAAAGUCUGACGCUGCGACGUCGCGUGAGGGAUGAAGGUCUUCGGAUCGUAAACCUCUUUUAUCUGGGAACAAGUUCUGAGUGUACCAGAUGAAUAAGUGCCUGCCAACCACGUGCCAGAAGCAUCGGUAAUGCGUGGGGCACGAGCGUUAUCCGGAUUUACUGGGCGUAAAGAGAUGCGUAGGCGCCUUUUUAAGUCACUUGUAAAAUCUCCCCGCUCAACGGGGAAACUGCAAGUGAUACUGAAUUGGUUGAGUCAAGUAGAGGAGAGGGGAAUUCCUGGUGGAGCGGUUAAAUGCGUUGAUAUCAGGAGGAAUACCAAGUGCGAAGGCACCUCUCUGGACUUGUACUGACGCUAAGGCUCGAAAGUGUGGGGAGCAAAACGGAUUAGAUACCCGUGUAGUCCACACUGUAAACGAUCCCUGCUAGAUGUU
rnacentral:rRNA from 1 species